rnacentral:rRNA from 1 species
CUUGGUCAUUUAGAGGAAGUAAAAGUCGUAACAAGGUUUCCGUAGGUGAACCUGCGGAAGGAUCAUUACUGUGAUUUASUACUACACUGCGUGAGCGGAACGAAAACAACAACACCUAAAAUGUGGAAUAUAGCAUAUAGUCGACAAGAGAAAUCUACGAAAAAACAAACAAAACUUUCAACAACGGAUCUCUUGGUUCUCGCAUCGAUGAAGAGCGCAGCGAAAUGCGAUACCUAGUGUGAAUUGCAGCCAUCGUGAAUCAUCGAGUUCUUGAACGCACAUUGCGCCCCUCGGCAUUCCGGGGGGCAUGCCUGUUUGAGCGUCGUUUCCAUCUUGCGCGUGCGCAGAGUUGGGGGAGCGGAGCGGACGACGUGUAAAGAGCGUCGGAGCUGCGACUCGCCUGAAAGGGAGCGAAGCUGGCCGAGCGAACUAGACUUUUUUUCAGGGACGCUUGGCGGCCGAGAGCGAGUGUUGCGAGACAACAAAAAGCUCGACCUCAAAUCAGGUAGGAAUACCCGCUGAACUUAAGCAUAUCAAUAAGCGGAGGA